UACGAGGGGGCAAGCGUUGUUCGGAAUUAUUGGGCGUAAAGGGUGCGUAGGCGGUCUGACAAGUCUGAUGUGAAAUCUAUGGGCUCAACCCAUAGUCGUGCAUCGGAAACUGUCGGGCUUGAGUGUGGGAGAGGUGAGUGGAAUUUCCGGUGUAGCGGUGAAAUGCGUAGAUAUCGGAAGGAACACCUGUGGCGAAAGCGGCUCGACUGGACCAUUACUAGACGCUGAGGCAC
rnacentral:rRNA from 1 species